rnacentral:sRNA from 1 species
UAUAGUGCCAAGUGAUAAUUAUCAAGUCCCAUAUCCUUCAUCUUCAUUGGAAUUAAUUGCUGCAUUAUGCAGGCAUCAAACUCAAAGUGUGCCAAGAAGACAACCAGUACUUUAUGAUUAAUUUUAACAAGUCUACCACCAGAUAAAGAUAUAGUGAGUGAUGUCCAGUACAGCCCUGGAAAGACCCAGCUCUUACAGACACAGAAGAUGCAUUACUCCCCUCCAUUUCAAACAACAUGUGAGAACUACAUGAGAUAUCAGAAGUCUACAGUGGGGAAGAGAGAAGGGGGAAAAGCAAGGAAAAAU